rnacentral:rRNA from 1 species
CCCUGAUGCACAAGGUACUUUAUUUAAAUACUUUUUAAAUUUUAUUUUUCAAAAUUUUCAGCUUUCCCUCACAGUUUAAAUAAUUAAAAAAUUUAUAAUCAAUACACUUAUCAUAAUCCUUUUUUUAAAAACAAUGAACAAUAAUAUAUUUUAAAAUACAUU